GAUCCUGGCUCAGGAUGAACGCUAGCUACAGGCUUAACACAUGCAAGUCGAGGGGCAGCAUGUACCUGGCUUGCCAGAUACGAUGGCGACCGGCGCACGGGUGAGUAACGCGUAUCCGACCUGCCGCACACUCCGGGAUAGCCUUGCAAAAGCAAGUUUAAUACCGGAUGCCGUAAGGACGCCGCAUGGUGUUUUUACGAAAGGGGUUUACCGGUGUGCGAUGGGGAUGCGUCCCAUUAGCUUGG
rnacentral:rRNA from 1 species